UGACGCGCCAAUGGCCUGAGAGGAGGGUGGGAUCUGCGGCUGGUGUGUAUCUUUCUCUGUCUUCUCCCUCUCCCUGUGCCAAGUUCGUUGGACCCGCAAAGCUUUGCUGAUGAGGGGCUGCCACGCUGAAGACUGGGACUAGUGGGGACAGCUGGAGCAUGAAAUGAAAUUGCUGACCCAAUCGAAGGGUGGAUGUCUCAGCACCCUCAUCAGUGUCACGAGAAGUAUGAUCCUGCUAAGUUCUUAGGGACCAAGGAUGACUUCCUUCCACUUCGAUGUUGUAGGUGCUAACUCCAAACUGAAUUGCCCAGUGCUGGAUUCACACACCCUGUUGCAGCAGGUAACAGUGUCUGAAUUUUAACUGCACAUUAACACAGGCAGUUAUUGUCCAUAUCUUCUGCAUUUUCAUACAUCAUUUACCACUGACAAUAAGUUAGAGGGAGAUGGUGGAACGGCAAUCUGCUCUAAGAUGUCUGCCAAACCAUUCUACAAUAACCUUACAAGGCAAGGAUGUCCCGAGGCACGGUACAUUGGCGAAACCAUGCAGACGCUACAACAAUGGAUGAAUGGUCACCGCGCAACAAUCGCCAAACAGUGAUGUUCCUUCCCAGUGGGGGAACACUUCAGCGGACAAGGACAUUUGGCCUUGGAUCUUUGGGUAAAUGGCCUCCAAGGUGGACUUCGGGAUACACAACAACGCAGAGUCACUGAGCAGAGGCUGAUGGCCAAGCUUGGUAACCCACGAGGACGGCCUCAACCAGGAUCUUGAGUUCAUAUCGCACUACAGGUGACUCCACCAGACUUAUAUAUACACACACACACAGAUCCUCUCUCAUUCACACACUGUCUGUCAAGUGCACACACACUCACUCUCUCUGUUUUUCUCUGUCUCUCUCUCUCUCUCUCUCUCACACACACGCACACACAGACUCUUUCCCUCCACCCCACUCACACACUCUCUCCCAUACACAUACAAACUCUUUCUACUGCCCUCUCACUCACGCACACACACACAGACAUAUACAUGCGCGCACGCGCGCGCACACACACACAUUCACCACACAUAUGAAUCUAUGGGGUGAAUUUGUAUUUGCAGAUAUAUUUUAUUCUGUUCAAAAAGUACACAAUUUAUAGACAGUCAAUCAAUGUGCCGUUUUAUAAAUUCCUAUUUUAGAAAUAAAACCAGUUUGACUCCAAACCAAAACACACACAGAUUCUAAACAAGGCCUCACACCAAACAUGCAUUGACUGACCUAAAAUGUCACCUCUUCUUUACAUUGACAAAACCUUUAGUUCUCUCAGGACAGUGAAUUGAAAGGAAUUCGGGGUUUUACCUAUACAUAUUAAUCAAUUAAAACCUUCCAACUGAUUAAAGAUUCAACAGCAUCUUAUUUUUGUUUAGUACAUCCUCAUCAGUGGUGUGACCCUUUGAUCUUUUACUUAUAAAUUCUGUGUCUGAUGCUAUCUCUCUCACUAACACCUGAAGAAGGAGCGAGGCUCCGAAAACUUGUGUUUUCAAAUAAACCUGUUGGACAAUAACCUGGUGUCGUGUGAUUUCUGACCUUAAAAUUAAUUGUAAAGCUUAAUUUUAUGAGAUACUCAUUUUCUUACUUCCCUGAAAUCCUCCCCUAACCAGCACAUUGACUGUAAUACAGUAUGACAAUAUAACAUUCUGCUGCAGUGAUUCAUGCACUUCACACAGCAGGGUGGUGAGUAUAGAUUUUUUUUAAUUCACUGCACUAACAAGCCUGUUUUUAUUUUGUGAGUAAAACCUCUCUGAGUCACAGCAACAAUCAGCAUUUUGGUUCUUCUUUGUGUUUUCCUUCCGACCAUGUGGGUUAUCAUUUGCGAACAUGUACUCUUUCUGGUCUGAAUAAAGAAUUCUGAAAGGUG